rnacentral:tRNA from 1 species
GCCGAUGUAGCUCAAUGGUAGAGCAACAGUUUUGUAAACUGUAGGUUGUCGGUUCGAGUCCGACCAUCGGCU